AUCAUCGCCUCUGAGCGGAGAGACAGAGAGAGAGAGAGAGAGAGAGAAGGAGACUAAGUGUGAGCUGGUUUAGAGGAGGAUGGCGGCUAUCAGGGCUCUGCAGCAGUGGUGUAAGGUCCAGUGUGAUGGAUACAGAGAUGUGGAUAUAACCAACAUGACCACCUCGUUCAGAGACGGACUGGCGUUCUGCGCUCUCAUCCACAAGUUCAGACCCGACCUCAUAAACUUUGAGUCCCUGAGUAAGGACAAUGUGUAUGACAACAACUGCUUGAAUGCCGAUUUGUGUUUAUUUCAGGCUUUUCGUGUGGCUGAGGAUCAUCUGGGGAUUCCCGCUCUUCUGGAUGCAGAGGACAUGGUGGCCCUUCACAUCCCGGACAGACUCAGCAUCCUCACUUACGUCUCGCAGUACUACAACUACUUUAAAGGUCGCUCACCCAUGGGAGGAGUCGGAGGUGUCAAACGACCUGCGGAGGACUGCAGGAAAGAAGAGCCAUCAGAAAAGAAGAAUCUCCCCGUCACUGCCAAAACUUUCAGCCCAAAGACACAUCCGGUGUCGCCUUCCGAAUCCACCAAAGCUGCUCAGAAUCAUCCAGCGCCACCUCUCACCCAGAACAGCGGCUCAAACGGACAUGUCCCAACCGCUCCGUCACAACAGCACGCCAUGGAAACAUACCCCGAAUCCAAAAACGUCAAAACGACCUCUCCAUGUCGCUUUGAUUCUGCAUCCAUCGUGACAACCCCAGACAGGAACCCGGAGAAGCCUGUUUUAAUUGAGAGCUCCAAUAAAACUGGCACCCUGAACAGUAAGUGUGCGGUGUGCAGGAAUCACGUUCACUUGGUUCAGAGACACCUAGUGGAUGGGAAACUGUAUCACAGAAGCUGCUUCAAAUGCUGUGAAUGUUUAGCUGCUUUACAGUCUGGAGCGUAUACAUCCGGUCAGCUGCCUGGCACACUGUGCUGCUCUUCAUCCCGCUGUGCCCAGAACAACUCAUCCACGCAUAGCGCGCCUGACGCGAUUGGACUCGAACCCGAGAGCGGAAGUCGGCUAUCACCUCUGCGGCAUUCCUCGGUUCUGACCAGCCCUCCUGUUCAACCUGUUCCCAGAUCAGUUCAGCACACUCCCGCCCCCGAGCCAUGGACCGCUUCCGCGCUGAGGACUCAGGCCGCCAGGCAGAGGUUUUUCCUCUCCGCCUCGGAGGCUUCUACUCCCCAGAACAUCAUUGCACCAAAGCGUGAAGAAGAAAAGGAGCAGGCGCAGGCAUCGAUCUCUCAGAAAUUAGCUGAAGGAAACUGCAACAACAAUAACAAAGCUUAUAGCUGUAGGCUCGCGUCAGACAACAAAUCUGGUGAAGUCCUCAGCUCAGAGCAGGGGAGAUGUGGAUUAGAAGUCGGUACUUCUCUCGCCAACACCAGCAAAGAGCACCCUAGACCUCCCUCCUCUUCCCUCUUUAUCGCCGGAGCCAAAGAUGUAGGAAGCUGUGAAGGCCGAGAGCCGAAGACGACUUCAAAUGCACCAGGGCUGAGAACCUUGGCUGAGAACAAAAUCUUCUGCAAUGAUACCCAGCUGAUUCCCCAGUACACGUCUUCUAGGCCAGGCUUCCGGCCCACAAGCGUUGCUCAGCCACCUGAUUUGUACUCUAAUAAACCUCCAGCCACACACUCCACUGUCUCAGGUUCUAAACCUGAGACGUCCUCAGUGAGCUCAUUACCCAGACGUCCGCUGCCAUGUACAGAUCAACACCACGGAGGCCUGGCUGAAUCCGGUGGUAAAUCAGGAAAUUGCAGAUCCUGUCCGUCCCUUCAGCCCCUAGUGCACGACAGUAUCGUCUGGAAACUGACCUCUGCAGAACAUGCUGAAGAUGGAAACGUGCCAUUGGAGAACAGUUCACAGCUACUCUGCAUCAAAUCCCAUCACAUCCCAAUUGAGCAGAUCGCUAAGGAGCUGCAGGAAAUUGAGAACAGCCUGAGUGAUUUGGAGAAAGAAGGAAUUGACCUGGAGAGAAGACUUCGCAGCUGUGAGGAAGAGGGUACCGGAGACAUUUUGGCCGAUCCGUUAAUGGUGGACUGGUUCAACCUGAUUCGGAAGAAGCAGAGUUAUAUACGGAGGGAAUCCGAGCUCAUGCACAUAGCAAAAACUCAAGAUUUAGAGGAGCAGCAGCCAGGAGUGGAAGGAGAGCUCAGGAGACUGAUUAAUAAACCAGAGCAUCUGAAGAGCACCUCCGAAAGGAAGAGAGAGUCCGAGCUGAUGAAGAAGCUGGUGGAGAUCGUGAACGACAGGAACGCCAUCGUGGACGGUUUAGAGCAAGACAGGAGGAGGGAGGAAGAAGAGGAUCAACAACUAAACGAAAUGAUGCACAGGCUCGGUCUGCGAAAACUUAAAGGCAGGAGGAAAUCAUCCUUCUCCAAGGUGUUCAGACGCAGGAGUAAAAAGGAAGGAAGGAAGGAAGAGUGAUGGAGCUCGAUGCAGUCUUGAGACACACACACAUCAGCUCAGGGUCUCUUAGAGGUCUGGCAGUUUACAUCACAUCAGACUGCACUUACUCAGAUCUUACUUCGUCUGUUUUUAAAUUGCCCCCCCCCCCCCCAUUUUCCCUUAUGCAUGUUUUAUAAAAAAAAAUCUUUUAAAGUUUUCUUUAGAGUCGUUUAAGAUUUUUAAAAAAGUUUGAGUUUAAUUUGUGGCUGUUCAUAUUUAUUUAAAGAUUUUUUAUGCAGCUACGUACAUUAUAACCUUGGAUUUAUAGAUCUUACAAUUUGAUUACAUUUAUUUAUUUACUUAUAUUAACCGUUUUUUUUUUUAAGAUUUUUUUUAAUUGUUGAUUUAAUUGUUGAUAAUUGUUUAAGUCAAUUUUAUCAGGACACUAAAACUCAGGCCAAACCUCUUAUACAUUCCUAUAAAGAUUCAUUUUCCCUCUUGCCCUAAAGGUGGCACUAUAGGCUCACAUGCCCCUCAGAAGAAUACUUAAUAAAAAAUAUAUAGAAAAAAAGGGAAAAGAAAGCACCCUACAAGCAAACACUUCCUCCUUUGCCCAGACCACAGUAUAAACUCAGAUUUGGUAAGAAAUACUAAAUCAAGCUGUUUUAUAUUUAUUGUUUGAUUUUUGUAUUUUUGUAUUUAAAUGUAUUCUAGAGAUGCAAACAAUUAGUUGUGUUUUUCUUUUAAAAAUGCAUUAAACAAGUUUAAUUACGUGCGGACUGGGGUAAUGCCGUGAGAUCUUUUUUGUUUGUGUCAGAAAGACUUCCAAAAAGUAAAUAUCAGAAAUGUUAAAGUAAAUUAUGAAAGUUCUUUUUAAUGACUAAACUUUUUUAAAUAUAUAAUUUUAAAUAUAUUGUUUAAUUUCAAAUGCUUUUCUUUUUCUUAAUUACUUACAAAAUCUUAUAUAAUAAAACCACAAGACACAUUUGAACAGUUUUGUACUGUUAAUUCUGUUUUAUUUUCUCUAUUAUGCCGAGACUAAACCUUCAGAUGAUCUAGACGUCUGUUGUGAGACGGUGAGGUGUUGACAGUCCUCCAGGAGCGUCUCUGAACCACUGUAGUAUUCUAUAGAGAUUUGGAUAUAGACGUUGUGUCUAUAUCUGUAGAAGUAAGUGUGUGUGUAUAUGUGUGUGUGCGUGCGUGUGUGUGCGUGUGCGCGGGCACAUGGUUCCAGUAUUGAAAGUUGCCUGUAUUCCCAUAGAGUCUUCUUGGGGGAUGUGUGGAGCUGGCACUGCUCUAUUUUCCAACUCACAGUUUUGGACAACAAAGUAUGCAUUUAAAAGUUGCUCCACUCAUAUCCAAAAGUUUUUACAUCUCUAG